CCUGCUGACAAAGAAAAGUGAUCAAAGAUGGAUGCCCCAAUGGCAUCGUGCUACUUACUGUCAUCGCGCAGCUCCGUAUCUCGUCAGUGAUAAUUUUGCCGACGUUCACCUCCAUCUGUCUCAUCAGGCAGAAAAUGAGACGAACCCUGUGCAUCGUGACAUCAGAGAUGUGGGAGCAAGGUUGGAUAUUGGCAUGCGUGAAUGCCAUCCAGUAUCGUGCCAGAGGUGUCAUGUCCAAUCUCCUAAUGUUAACCGGUGCCCCACUAGAGUUAGUUUGAAAAUACCUUCGAGGGAGGCACGUACCCCUCUCAAUUUCGGCUAUGUCGCCAAACAGACCAUCCUAUGCCGCAUACUGGCACUGCUCCCCUGGCC
rnacentral:lncRNA from 1 species